AGAGUUUGAUCCUGGCUCAGAAUCAACGCUGGCGGCGCGCUUAACACAUGCAAGUCGCACGAGAAAGGGGAGCAAUCCCUGAGUAAAGUGGCGUACGGGUGAGUAACACGUGGAUCAUCUACCUUUUAGUGGGGAAUACCCCCGGGAAACUGGGGACAAUACCGCAUAAGCUCGUGAGAGGAAAGCAGCAAUGCGCUGAAAGAGGAGUCCGCGGCUGAUUAGCUAGUUGGUGAGGUAACGGCCCACCAAGGCGAAGAUCGGUAGCCGGCCUGAGAGGGCACACGGCCACACUGGCACUGAAACACGGGCCAGACUCCUACGGGAGGCAGCAGUGGGGAAUCUUGCACAAUGGGGGAAACCCUGAUGCAGCGACGCCGCGUGAGUGAUGAAGCCCCUCGGGGUGUAAAGCUCUU
rnacentral:rRNA from 1 species